UUGGGAAUAUUGCACAAUGGGGGAAACCCUGAUGCAGCAAUCCCGCGUGGGUGAAGAAGGCCUUCGGGUCGUAAAGCCCUUUUGGCAGGGAAGAAGGGAAACUUGACGGUACCUGCAGAAGAAGCACCGGCUAACUACGUGCCAGCAGCCGCGGUAAUACGGGGGGUGCAAGCGUUGUUCGGAAUUAUUGGGCGUAAAGCGCGUGUAGGCGGUUUGUUAAGUCUGAUGUGAAAGCCCCGGGCUCAACCUGGGAAGUGCAUUGGAAACUGGCAGACUUGAAUACGGGAGAGGGUAGUGGAAUUCCUGGUGUAGGAGUGAAAUCCGUAGAUAUCAGGAGGAACACCGGUGGCGAAGGCGGCUGCCUGGACCACUCCUGACACUCAGACGCGAAAGCUAGGGUAGCAAGCG
rnacentral:rRNA from 1 species